GUAGGUGGCAAGCGUUGUCCGGAAUUAUUGGGCGUAAAGCGCGCGCAGGCGGUCCUUUAAGUCUGAUGUGAAAGCCCACGGCUCAACCGUGGAGGGUCAUUGGAAGCUGGGGGACUUGAGUACAGAAGAGGAAAGCGGAAUUCCAAGUGUAGCGGUGAAAUGCGUAGAGAUUUGGAGGAACACCAGUGGCGAAGGCGGCUUUCUGGUCUGUAACUGACGCUGAGGCGCGAAAGCGUGGGGAGCAAACAGGGAUUAGAUACCCUGGUAGUCCACGCCGUAAACGAUGAGUGCUAAGUGUUAGGGGGUUUCCCGCCCCUUAGUGCUGCGGCUAACGCAUUAAGCACUCCGCCUGGGGAGUACGGCCGCAAGGCUG
rnacentral:rRNA from 1 species